ensembl:lncRNA
CAUAUUGAUGCUGUGUGUGGUAUUUGGCCAGGACCGGGUUUAGGUUCCUUUCGUGCAAGAACAAUACUAAAAGGGUCGCCGGAGUUCGGUAACAAAUGGUGCCGAAACCCGGGACCCAUGCUGUGUUGGUUUGCACGGGUGCUAGGCUGGCACCAUAGCCUGCAGCGGGGAAGCGCUUGCAGAAGGCCUGGGGUCUUGAGCCUUACCGGCACAAGAGAGAGGGUAAGUCUCCUGAGACAUAUCGGCGGGGAAGACGCCACAACUCCAGCCAUGGAACAAGUUAUUAAGGUAUUGCUUUCGUUUUGCAAAGUUUAUUGCGGGAAGAAUUCUCCUUCUGAGAACGAAAUUGCUGCGGUGCUUUCUCGUUUAGACCGAGAGGGCACGAUAAAAACCCCACGUGAUAUACUUAAUUAUCAAAAGUGGGAUGCCUUUACCAUGGCUCUUGCUCAAAGAGCCAUGUCGGUUAGGAAGUCUGCUGAGUUAAAGACCUGGGGAUUAAUCCUCGGCGCUUUAAAAGCUGCCAGAGAGGAAAAGCAGUUUUCCGAUACCGUGCGUGACGUCCUCGGUCUUGGGCAGGAUCCAGGAAAUUCCUUUGGGGAUUCCUUGGAUCCGGGAGGCCCUAGCAGGCCGGGAGAAAGUGUUUUUUGCAGGAAUCCAGAGGACGGCUUAUCGGUUCAAGAGGCGCUGCCGCUGCCGUUCAUCGAUUCCCGUGAUGCGGCUCGGGUCGAGCAGUCGCCGGCCCCGGCCCCGGCACCGCCGCUGGCGACAGCUUCGGCUCGGCCGCUGGCUCCAGUCCCGGCGCGGCUGCCGGCCACGGACUUGCUGCAGGCGCCGGUUCCAGCUUUGCCACAGGUUCGGGUUCCGUUCCUGGCCCCAAAGGGAGCAGACCCCCUCCACAGCGCCGCGGCCAAGAUGGCGCCGGCCACGCCGCUCGCUUCUGCUUCGGGCACCACCCACCAGAUGCCAAUCACCGCUGAGGAAUGCGAAGGGGGAGUGUUGCAACACCCACCGUCGUCUUCGCCAAUCAUCGCGCGAGAGACUCUCGAGACUCCUCCUCUGUAUCCGCCUCCCUAUCCACGUCAAUCAUUGUAUCCUUCAUUGGAUGAUGUUUCAGGGGCGGAGAUCGGAGAAGCAGGCUUGGUGCCAUGGCCACUGCCCUGGACAGAAUCUUCCAGUGACUGACCACUCGCAGAGAUUAGGGUAAAUUAUGGUUCUGGGAGCUUUUAACAUCUCUGGAAGGGACUACUAAAG